rnacentral:rRNA from 1 species
UACGUAGGGUCCGAGCGUUGUCCGGAGUUACUGGGCGUAAAGCGCGCGCAGGCGGCGGUGUUGGCCCGGCGUGAAAGCCCCCGGCUCAACCGGGGAGAGUCGUCGGGGACCGCACCGCUUGAGGGCGGUAGGGGCUGGUGGAAUGCCUGGUGUAGUGGUGAAAUGCGUAGAGAUCAGGCAGAACACCUGGGGCGAAGGCGGCCAGCUGGGCCGUCCCUGACGCUGAGGCGCGAAGGCUAGGGGAGCGAACGGG